CUCGUGCUACCCUUGCGGACGCAGGACGCAGGACCCUCCCGCCCAAUGCGGUCGCCGCGUCUACUCCACCCAGAGGGCCGGCGGCGGACACCACUUGCGGAGCUCCAGCAGCACGCUCGGCUGCCGCUUCUCCGCGAGUCCCCAGGUGCAGCUGAGGAACUGCUCUCCGUCCCUGCUGUGACUUUUACCCCUGGGAUGCCUGUGUCCUCCCAGCCGACCGACAGCUGUGCAGUGGCCACUACUCCCUAGUGACUGGACUCCCUCCCGACGUGACCCGAUGAUGAAGAGGGGCCCGCAUGAUAACCCUCUCAGGAGUGGAGCUGUAUGUGAGUAGGUGGGCUUGCGGCUAUCCUUUUCUUUCGAUGUGUAUAAAAU